UACGUAGGUGGCAAGCGUUGUCCGGAUUUACUGGGUGUAAAGGGCGCGUAGGCGGGCAGGCAAGUCAGAUGUGAAAUCUCCGGGCUCAACCCGGAAAUUGCAUUUGAAACUGCAGGUCUUGAGUAUCGGAGAGGCAAGCGGAAUUCCUAGUGUAGCGGUGAAAUGCGUAGAUAUUAGGAGGAACACCAGUGGCGAAGGCGGCUUGCUGGACGACAACUGACGCUGAGGCGCGAAAGCGUGGGGAGCAAAC
rnacentral:rRNA from 1 species